rnacentral:miRNA from 15 species
AGGCAGGGGCCGGGCUGCAGC